AAUUAUAACAUUGUGUGCUUCGGUCCCAAACUAGAUGCAAAGAUUAGCAAAAAGAGAUCAUGAUACUCCUAGGAGGAGAUACAGUUGGCCUUGUUACAAAUUCACCAAGGAGUUGACUAUUCAAUUUUUGGUAAAAUUGCAAAAGCCAAAAUUGUCAAAGAAGCAUGUGAUAUUUUGAAGAUGUCUUACAAAUGAGUGGAGAAAUCCUAGAAAUCCAAGCUGCAAUAUCUGUAAAGGAAACACAAAAGGUACAAAAUGUCUAAUUUUGAAUCUCUGAAACAAUAUUUUUCAUGUGUUACAUGUCUUGUAACGAGAUGAGGUGUAUGGAGAAGACAUCCCAAACAACAAGGUGGUGGACAAAAUUUUACGCACUAUACCGAAAAAGUUUGAUCAUGUGGUAACUAUAAUAAUUGAAUCCCAUGACACAAAUGUCAUGUAUGGUAGCAGAGUUGAAGAAUCAAAAGUCGUGCAAAAGAUAGAGGUCAAGAAAAUUUCAACAAUUGAGGAAGAGAAAACUACAAAGGCAGUGGUCGUGGAAAUUACAAAGGAAGAGGAUGGGGAAAUUUCAACCAAGGAAGAAACAACAAUUUCAGGUCAUUUGGCCAAGGAAGAGGUGAAAAUACUUUUGGUGUCCCUAAUCAGGAAGGGAUAGAGGUAACUACCCAGACCAGAUGAAUUUUAAUUGCUUCUACAGUGGAAAGUUCUGCACAAAAAGUUGUAGAGUAUAGAUUCAAACAAUAGACAAAUGUUGUAGAAAUUCAAAUUACAGGUGAGAAUUCUAAUAACCAACAAUAGACAAAUGUUGUGAGAAAUUCAAAAAGUUUUUGGCAAGCAAUUCAUGUUCUGGGGAUGAAAAUAUUUGAGAUAGGAAGAUGAGUUAUCUUUUGCUUUAGAUGAAAUUUUAUGUCUAAUGUUUUUCUAUGCUCCUGGUUUUCAUCACAAUUUAUUGAAUAUGAGACAACCGUGAGAGAAAGGAUACAUUCAUCAUGGCUUUUGCAUGUUGAUAGACAGAAAUGGAAGAAUUCAUAGGUAAAGACGACUCCCUACCACCCAUUCCCUUUAAAAAUUCAUCAUGAAAAACUUUCUCGUUUGAGUUCUAUAAUUCCAAAUGAUGAUGGCAUAUGUGCUUUGAACACUUUCAUUUUUUUGGUUAAAUUAUUUGUCAAGAAGAUAAUUCGUUUCUGGUUUGCCUUGUGAAUGUUUCUAAUGGCGUCUGUGACACAUGUAAGAUUGGAAAGAAGCACAGAAUCUUUUUCAAUUGGAAAGUCUUGAGAGUGAAAAAGUUGUUAGAGAUAGUUCAUUCAUAUCUAUGCAUGGUUGAGAUACCAACAAUAAUGGUAGCAACUAUUCUGAUUUUAGCAUAAAGACAUGGGUUUAUUUUCAGAAGUAGAAAUCAAAAGUCUGUAAUGUUUUCAAGAUGUUCAAGGCUUUUGUAGGAAAGUAGAGUGCAUACAGAAUCAAAGCACUUAGAAUAGAUGGAGGCCAAGAAUACCUCACAUGUACAAAUUUCUUGGAACAACAUGGAAUUCCAAAUACACGCCUCUCGUGAAUUGUGAAAAACUGGAUGUAAUUUUAGUGAUAAAGAUAAAUUAAUAUAAAAUUCUUCUUAUCUAUA